AACGAACGCUGGCGGCAUGCCUAAUACAUGCAAGUCGAACGAGAUCUUCGGAUCUAGUGGCGCACGGGUGCGUAACGCGUGGGAAUCUGCCCUUGGGUUCGGAAUAACUUCUGGAAACGGAAGCUAAUACCGGAUGAUGACGUAAGUCCAAAGAUUUAUCGCCCAAGGAUGAGCCCGCGUAGGAUUAGGUAGUUGGUGAGGUAAAGGCUCACCAAGCCGACGAUCCUUAGCUGGUCUGAGAGGAUGGUCAGCCACACUGGGGCUGAGACACGGCCCAGACUACUACGGGAGGCAGCAGUAGGGAAUAUUGGCCAAUGGUCGAACGCCUGAUCCAGCAAUGCCGCGUGAGUGAUGCAGGCCUUGGGGUUGUAAAUCUCUUUUACCCGUGAUGAUAAUGACAGUACCGGAAGAAUAAGCUCCGGCUAACUCCGUG
rnacentral:rRNA from 1 species